UACAGAGGCCUCAAGCGUUUAGGCGGAAUCACUGGGCUUAAAGCGUGUGUAGGCGGAUCGUUAAGUGUCUUGUGAAAUCCCACGGCUCACCCGUGGAACUGCUGGGCAUACUGGCGAUCUUGGGCCAACUAGGGGCAACUGGAACAAGCGGUGGAGCGGUGAAAUGCGUAGAUAUCGCCUGGAACGCCAAGGUGAAAACAGACAGCUGGGAGUGUGCUGACGCUGAGACACGAAAGCCAGGGGAGCGAACAGG
rnacentral:rRNA from 1 species